rnacentral:rRNA from 1 species
GCCAGCAGUCAUAUUACUCUGCAGCUCACAACUGACAACCCACUGAAGCUAAGCAGGUCUGAACCUGGUCAAUACCUCGAUAGGAGACCUCCUGGAAAAAACUAAGGUUGCUGCUGGAA